UACGUAGGAGGCGAGCGUUGUCCGGAAUUACUGGGUGUAAAGCGCGUGUAGGCGGCCUGCCAAGUCUGCUGUGAAAGCGCCUGGCUUAACCGGGCGAGGUCGGUGGAAACUGGCGGGCUGGAGGCCGGUAGAGGGGGGUGGAAUUCCCGGUGUAGUGGCGAAAUGCGUAGAGAUCGGGAGGAACACCAGUGGCGAAGGCGGCCCCCUGGGCCGCGCCUGACGCUGAGACGCGAAAGCGCGGGGAGCGAACGGG
rnacentral:rRNA from 1 species